rnacentral:tRNA from 1 species
UCUCGAGUCGUCUAAUGGCAGGACAGCGGCCUCUGAAGCCGUACGUGGAGGUUCGACUCCUCCCUCGAGAA